CUGGAAGCAUGGCCUCAAAGGGAGGAGUUUCAGAUGAGGUAACACAAGAAAUUACAGAUGAGAGUCGUGUGUUCAGAGUUCUGGGAACAAACAGAGCCAUCAUCCUUCAGAGCACACCGACUGAUGACCCGUCAGCACUGAGCAGCCUGUACAUCCUGACAGGACACGAAAGCAGCUACUGAGAGAGGACACGGGGCUCAUUCGACGGUGUUACCAAAGAAAAGCACAGCCUGUCUGUAACUGUGGGGUGGAAACGAUGCUCUGUUUCACUGAGGCUGUGCCAGGAAACGGUUCAAUGCUGGGAAUGACAAAUGUUAGGAAGGUAUCCUGCUGACUGUCCAGCCUUCACCUGUACACAAGACACCUGUCAAGGUCCUCGCUGGGGUUAUAGUUGAUAAAGCUUUCUAGCUUUUCUUGUCUAUUCAGCUUACCUGCUUAAAUCAGACCUUUCUGUUAAAGCUAAUGCAGACUCCACUGAUCCGCCCGCUCAGUGUGGACGGGAGAAUAACCUGAACAUGGCCUCUGGGACAUCAUCAUACUGAUGUUAUGAAGCGCGCAAUCAGGUUUUCUUCUUGAUCAGACUGAGGGGCAGACUGAGUGUGUUUUGGUGCCUCAACAUUCAGUCAU